rnacentral:rRNA from 1 species
GACGAACGCUGGCGGCGUGGAUUAGGCAUGCAAGUCGAACGGUAUCAUCCUUUCGGGGGUGAGAGAGUGGCGAACUGGUGAGUAACACGUAGGUUAUCUACCCUCAAGACGGGGACAACCCAGGGAAACUUGGGCUAAUACCGGAUGUGAGCAACUUUUAGUUGUUUGAAAGGUGGCGUAAGCUGUCGCUUGGGGAUGAGCCUGCGUCCUAUUAGUUAGUUGGUGAGGUAACGGCUCACCUAGGCAAUGAUAGGUAGGCGGCCUUAACGGGUGGUCGCCCACACUGGGAUUGAGAUACGGCCCAGACUCCUACGGGAGGCAGCAGUCGAGAAUAGUCUACAAUGGUCGGAAGACUGAUAGUGCGACGCCGCGUGAACGAUGAAUCCCUUCGGGGUGUAAAGUUCUUUUAUAUGUGAGCAGUGCUUCUUAUAUUAACAGUAUGGGGAGAGAGAUAUUAGCAUAUGAAUAAGCAACGGCUAACUCCGUGCCAGCAGCCGAGGUAAAA